UGAAUGGCAUCACGAGGGCUUAACUGUCUCCCCUCCCCAGUCAAUGAAAUUGAUCUCCCCGUGCAGAAGCGGGGAUAAUUCCAUAAGACGAGAAGACCCUAUGGAGCUUUAGACGUCAGAGCAGCCCAUGUAAAGCACCCCUUAACAAAGGAAAAAACCAAAUGAAGCCUGCCCUAAUGUCUUUGGUUGGGGCGACCGCGGGGAAAUACAAAACCCCCAUGUGGAGUAGGAAUACACAUUCCUAAACCCAAGAGCUCCCGCUCUAAUGAACAGAAAUUCUGACCAAUAAGAUCCGGCACACGCCGAUCAACGGACCGAGUUACCCUAGGGAUAACAGCGCAAUCCCCUUAAAGAGCCCUUAUCGACAAGGGGGUUUACGACCUCGAUGUUGGAUCAGGACAUCCUAAUGGUGCAGCCGCUAUUAAGGGUUCGUUUG
rnacentral:rRNA from 1 species